rnacentral:rRNA from 1 species
UACGGGGGGGGCAAGCGUUGUUCGGAAUUACUGGGCGUAAAGGGCUCGUAGGCGGCCAACUAAGUCAGACGUGAAAUCCCUCGGCUUAACCGGGGAACUGCAUCUGAUACUGGAUGGCUUGAGUUCGGGAGAGGGAUGCGGAAUUCCAGGUGUAGCGGUGAAAUGCGUAGAUAUCUGGAGGAACACCGGUGGCGAAGGCAGCUCUCUGGGACGGUAUUGACGCUGAGGCGCGAAAGCCAGGGGAGCAAACGGG